rnacentral:rRNA from 1 species
UACGGGGGGAGCAAGCGUUGUUCGGAUUUACUGGGCGUAAGGGGCGCGUAGGCGGUCAGCACAAGUCAGUUGUGAAAUCUCCGGGCUUAACCCGGAAAGGUCAACUGAUACUGCGGGGCUAGAGUGCAGAAGGGGCAACUGGAAUUCUCGGUGUAGCGGUGAAAUGCGUAGAUAUCGGAAGGAACACCUGUGGCGAAAGCGGCUCACUGGACCACAACUGACGCUGAUGCACGAAAGCUAGGGGAGCAAACAGG